rnacentral:rRNA from 1 species
UAGGGAAUAUUGCACAAUGGGCGAAAGCCUGAUGCAGCAACGCCGCGUGCGCGAUGAAGGCCUUCGGGUCGUAAAGCGCUUUUCUGGGAGAAGAGGAAGGACGGUAUCCCAGGAAGAAGGCUCGGCUAACUACGUGCCAGCAGCCGCGGUAAAACGUAGGAGCCAAGCGUUAUCCGAAUUUACUGGGCGUAAAGCGCGUGCAGGCGGCUCGAUAAGUUGAUUGUGAAAUCGCCCGGCUCAACUGGGCGAGGCCGGUCAAGACUGUCGGGCUGGAGGGCAGUAGAGGGAGGUGGAAUUCCCGGUGUAGUGGUGAAAUGCGUAGAGAUCGGGAGGAACACCAGUGGCGAAAGCGGCCUCCUGGGCUGUAUCUGACGCUCAGACGCGAAAGCUAGGGGGAGCAAACGGGAUUAGAAACCCCGGUAGUCCUAGCUGUAAACGAUGUCGACUUGGCGACGGUGGGGUAAAAGCCGAUCGGUGCCGGAGCAAACGCGGUAAGUCGACCGCCUGGGGA